rnacentral:lncRNA from 1 species
GCAUCUAGGGCACACAUCUAACAUUUUGGACGUUGGAUCCAAAGGGGAUAAGAGAGGGAGGCAUAGGGGGAUCUUAUGGGAGGCAUGGGCUGCUGAAAAUUUGAUCUAAAGAGCCUUAAAGAAGGCUCUUUUAAAUAGGUAAAAGGUUUGAAUCAUAUUCAAAACUAAAUAAACCCUCAGUAUAAGCCCUACUUACAUUAGAAAUC